UACAGAGGGCUCAAGCGUUGUUCGGAUUCAUUGGGCGUAAGGGGUGCGUAGGCGGCUUUGUAAGUUAGAGGUGAAAGCCCGAAGCUCAACUUCGGAAUUGCCUUUAAGACUGCAUCGCUAGAAUCAUGGAGAGGUUAGUGGAAUUCCGAGUGUAGAGGUGAAAUUCGUAGAUAUUCGGAAGAACACCAGUGGCGAAGGCGACUAACUGGACAUGUAUUGACGCUGAGGUGCGAAAGCGUGGGGAGCAAACAGG
rnacentral:rRNA from 1 species